rnacentral:rRNA from 1 species
GGAUGAACGUUGGCGGCGUGCCUAAUACAUGCAAGUCGAACGAAGACUGUAGUAAUACUGUCUUAGUGGCGAACGGGUGAGUAACGCGUGGGUGACCUGCCCCGAAGUGUGGGAUAACAGUUCGAAAGAACUGCUAAUACCGCAUAAUAUCCAAGAGAUUAGACGCUUUUGGAUUAAAGGAGUAAUUCGCUUCGGGAGGGGCCCGCGUCCCAUCAGCUAGUUGGUAAGGUAAUGGCUUACCAAGGCGAUGACGGGUAGGGGACCUGAGAGGGUGGCCCCCCACAAUGGAACUGAAACACGGUCCAUACACCUACGGGUGGCAGCAGUAGGGAAUAUUAGUAAUGGGCGAAAGCCUGAACUGGCAACGCCGCGUGUGCGAAGAAGGCCUUCGGGUUGUAAAGCACUUUUUGAGAGGAUGAGGAAGGACGGUACUCUCAGAAUAAGUCUCGGCUAACUACGUGCNNNCAGCCGCGGUAACACGUAGGAGGCAAACGUUAUCCGGAUUUACUGGGCGUAAAGCGCGUGUAGGUGGUUUGGUAAGUAGGGCGUGAAAGCUCCUGGCUCAACUGGGAGAGGACGUCCUAAACUGCCAAGCCUGAGGAUGGUAGAGGGAGGUGGAAUUCCGGGUGUAGCGGUGGAAUGCGCAGAUAUCCGGAGGAACACCAGUGGCGAAGGCGGCNUCCUGGACCACUCCUGACACUCAGACGCGAAAGCUAGGGUAGCAAACGGGAUUAGAGACCCCGGUAGUCCUAGCCCUAAACGAUGUAGACNNNGCGUCGGUGGUUUAAUCGCCAUCGGUGUCGUAGCUAACGCGUUAAGUCUACCGCCUGGGGACUACGGCCGCAAGGUUAAAACUCAAAGGAAUUGACGGGUCCCCGCACAAGCAGCGGAGCGUGUGGUUUAAUUCGAUGCUACACGAAGAACCUUACCUGGGUUUGACAUAGAGGUAGUAGGGAAGCGAAAGCGAACCGACCCUUCGGGGAGCCUCUACAGGUGUUGCAUGGCUGUCGUCAGCUCGUGUCGUGAGAUGUUCGGUUAAGUCCGCUAACGAGCGCAACCCUCGCUGUGUGUUACAAGUGUCACACGGUACUGCCGAUAUUAAGUCGGAGGAAGGUGGGGAUGACGUCAAGUCAGCAUGACCUUUAUAUCCAGGGCUACACACGUGUUACAAUGGCCGGUACAGAGGGCUGCUACCUGGUGACAGGAUGCUAAUCUCGAAAACCGGUCUCAGUUCGGAUCGAAGUCUGCAACUCGACUUCGUGAAGCCGGAUUCGCUAGUAAUCGCGCAUCAGCAACGGCGCGGUGAAUACGUUCCCGGGCCU